CUUGACAUCCAGCGAACUUGGCAGAGAUGCCUUGGUGCCUUCGGGAACGCUGAGACAGGUGCUGCAUGGCUGUCGUCAGCUCGUGUUGUGAAAUGUUGGUUAAGUCCGCAACGAGCGCAACCCUUAUCCUUUGUUGCCAGCGAUUCGGUCGGGAACUCAAAGGAGACUGCCGGUGAUAAACCGGAGGAAGGUGGGGAUGACGUCAAGUCAUCAUGGUCCUUACGAGUAGGGCUACACACGUGCUACAAUGGCGCAUACAAAGAGAAGCGACCUCGCGAGAGCAAGCGGACCUCAUAAAGUGCGUCGUAGUCCGGAUCGGAGUCUGCAACUCGACUCCGUGAAGUCGGAAUCGCUAGUAAUCGUGGAUCAGAAUGCCACGGUGAAUACGUUCCCGGGCCUUGUACACACCGCCCGUCACACCAUGGGAGUGGGUUGCAAAAGAAGUAGGUAGCUUAACCUUCGGGAGGGCGCUUACCACUUUGUGAUUCAUGACUGGGGUGAAGUCGUAACAAGGUAGGCGUAGACGU
rnacentral:rRNA from 1 species